rnacentral:rRNA from 1 species
GAUGAACGCUAGCUACAGGCUUAACACAUGCAAGUCGAGGGGCAGCAUGGUCUUAGCUUGCUAAGGCCGAUGGCGACCGGCGCACGGGUGAGUAACACGUAUCCAACCUGCCGUCUACUCUUGGACAGCCUUCUGAAAGGAAGAUUAAUACAAGAUGGCAUCAUGAGUCCACAUGUUCACAUGAUUAAAGGUAUUCCGGUAGACGAUGGGGAUGCGUUCCAUUAGAUAGUAGGCGGGGUAACGGCCCACCUAGUCUUCGAUGGAUAGGGGUUCUGAGAGGAAGGUCCCCCACAUUGGAACUGAGACACGGUCCAAACUCCUACGGGAGGCAGCAGUGAGGAAUAUUGGUCAAUGGGCGAGAGCCUGAACCAGCCAAGUAGCGUGAAGGAUGACUGCCCUAUGGGUUGUAAACUUCUUUUAUAAAGGAAUAAAGUCGGGUAUGGAUACCCGUUUGCAUGUACUUUAUGAAUAAGGAUCGGCUAACUCCGUGCCAGCAGCCGCGGUAAUACGGAGGAUCCGAGCGUUAUCCGGAUUUAUUGGGUUUAAAGGGAGCGUAGAUGGAUGUUUAAGUCAGUUGUGAAAGUUUGCGGCUCAACCGUAAAAUUGCAGUUGAUACUGGAUAUCUUGAGUGCAGUUGAGGCAGGCGGAAUUCGUGGUGUAGCGGUGAAAUGCUUAGAUAUCACGAAGAACUCCGAUUGCGAAGGCAGCCUGCUAAGCUGCAACUGACAUUGAGGCUCGAAAGUGUGGGUAUCAAACAGGAUUAGAUACCCUGGUAGUCCACACGGUAAACGAUGAAUACUCGCUGUUUGCGAUAUACAGCAAGCGGCCAAGCGAAAGCGUUAAGUAUUCCACCUGGGGAGUACGCCGGCAACGGUGAAACUCAAAGGAAUUGACGGGGGCCCGCACAAGCGGAGGAACAUGUGGUUUAAUUCGAUGAUACGCGAGGAACCUUACCCGGGCUUAAAUUGCAGAUGAAUUACGGUGAAAGCCGUAAGCCGCAAGGCAUCUGUGAAGGUGCUGCAUGGUUGUCGUCAGCUCGUGCCGUGAGGUGUCGGCUUAAGUGCCAUAACGAGCGCAACCCUUGUUGUCAGUUACUAACAGGUUCCGCUGAGGACUCUGACAAGACUGCCAUCGUAAGAUGUGAGGAAGGUGGGGAUGACGUCAAAUCAGCACGGCCCUUACGUCCGGGGCUACACACGUGUUACAAUGGGGGGUACAGAGGGCCGCUACCACGCGAGUGGAUGCCAAUCCCAAAAACCUCUCUCAGUUCGGACUGGAGUCUGCAGCCCGACUCCACGAAGCUGGAUUCGCUAGUAAUCGCGCAUCAGCCACGGCGCGGUGAAUACGUUCCCGGGCCU